GAUCAUGGCUCAGGAUGAACGCUGGCGGCGUGCAUAACACAUCAAGUCGAACGGGCAGUAUUCCUUCGGGGGUGCUGCUAGUGGCGGACGGGUGAGUAACGCGUGAGCAACCUGCCUCUGUGAGUGGAAUAACACAGGGAAACUCGUGCUAAUACCGCAUGACGAAGCGAAGCCGCAUGACUUUGCUUCCAAAGAUUUAUCGCACAGAGAUGGGCUCGCGUCCGAUUAGGCAGUUGGUGAGGUAACGGCUCACCAAACCGACGAUCGGUAGCCGGACUGAGAGGUUGAACGGCCACAUUGGAACUGAGAUACGGUCCAGACUCCUACGGGAGGCAGCAGUGGGGAAUAUUGGGCAAUGGGCCGCAAGCCUGACCCAGCGACGCCGCGUGAGGGAAGAAGGUCUUCGGAUUGUAAACCUCUUUGACAGGGGACGAAGUAAGUGACGGUACCCUGAAAACAAGCCACGGCUAACUACGUGCCAGCCGCCGC
rnacentral:rRNA from 1 species